GCAUGCGCAGCCUACCAUGCAGUCGAACGGUAGCAACCCGAGCCUGGCCUCUUUUGAGACGAGUGGCAGAGGGGUGUAUAGUGUGGGGGAAAGCGUGAGGGGGAGGGAGAUAUCUAGUGAAAAGGGUCUCUAAUACCGCAAAGUCUCACAAGACCAAAGAGGGGGACUUUCGGGCCUCUCCCCCUCAUGUGCCCCCAUAGGAUAUUCUCUUAUGUGGGGGGUAGGGGCUCCCCUGCGACAAUACCCCUCUGGGGUCAGAGGAGAAGACCCCCCACUGUGAAUGAGACACGGUCCCCACACUCCUAGGGGGCGCCACUGUGGAAAAUUUUGCACUGGGCGCGCACCCGAGACGCCCCCGCGCCGUGUGUAAAAAAAGCGCCUUCGUUUUGUAAUAUUUUUUCCGCGGAGGAGAGGGUUGUGGUUUUUAUCCCCUUCCAUAGUGAUUUCCCCCGCAAAAAACACCCCGGCUCUCUCCGUGCCCACCCGCGCUAUUAUAGAGAGGGCGCACGUUUUUCUCAGAUAUAGUGCGCAUAGCGCACACGCGCGCUGUGUGUUAUCUGAUAUGUGAUCUCCCCGCUCUCACUGUGAGAUGUGUACUAGACUGUGACGCGCGUGUCUCGUAUAGAGGGGUAUAAACUCCGUGUGUCGCUGAAAAUGCAUAGAUAUCUAGAAGAAUACGUGUGGAGAGCGCCGCCCUGGACAAAACACAGACUCUCGUGUGAGAGCGUGUGGAGCGCACACGAGAAUAUACACUGUGAUACUACACUCUAUACACUAUCUACAUGUAGAUUGUGCGCUUUGACGCGUCUCUUCCA
rnacentral:rRNA from 1 species